rnacentral:rRNA from 1 species
UACGGGGGGGGCAAGCGUUGUUCGGAAUUACUGGGCGUAAAGGGCUCGUAGGCGGCCAACUAAGUCGGACGUGAAAUCCCCAGGCUCAACCUGGGAACUGCGUCCGAUACUGGAUGGCUUGAAUUCGGGAGAGGGAUGCAGAAUUCCAGGUGUAGCGGUGAAAUGCGUAGAUAUCUGGAGGAAUACCGGUGGCGAAGGCGGGUCUCUGGGCAAUUCCUGACGCUGAGGCGCGAAAGCGUGGGGAGCAAACGGG